GAGAAAUUCUAUAAUUGCAUUCAUAAUUCAGCAAAAAAAGUCACUAGACACAAAGGGCCAAUACAAACUAGACACAAAAGGCCAUUACAAUAACGGAGCGUUCUAAUAUCAAAAUUAAGACAAUCUGGUAUGUCUCCACUAACGAUCAUGCAGGAUCGAAAAAACUCUGGCAUAGGCAUCCCAGCUAAGAUUGCAAACUUAGAAUAAUAAAAAAGAGAUAAAGCUUGAAAACCAAGCCAUAACAAUACAAAUAAAACUCUCACAAAUGAGAGAUGAAAAGCUCUCACAAAGGAGAGAUGAAAAACUCUCACAAAAGGAGAGGUGAAAAUUACACAGAGAACCCAAAUAGUCUCUGCAACUUAUUCCAAAUAUAAAGAAAUUACAAAAAAGAUGGUGGUGGAGAUCCGACGCUGAAAUGCAGGUGAAAAUCCGACGCUGAGCUGCAGCCGCCUAUAAUGGUUGGAUGAAAAUCAUAACAAAACUAAGACAAAUAGGAAAAACCCUUUGUCUCUGAAAAUGGGGGAAGAGGUGAAAGGAGGAAGAGAAGAGGGAAGAGGGGGGAAGAACAAUGGCUUCCUCCCUCUUCAAAGUAAAAAAAGCUCUAAGAGUGUUUUUUGGGAGAAAGGGGGCUAGAGUUUUUUUACGCAUCUAUUUACUCCCACCCAUACACUUGUUUGGGCAGAGAGAAAAUAGAGGAAAAGACAUUGCACUAUCGAGAGAGUAGCAAC
rnacentral:lncRNA from 1 species